rnacentral:rRNA from 1 species
CUGGCUCAGGAUGAACGCUGGCGGCGUGCUUAACACAGUGCAAGUCGAACGAGGGUUACCGGUUGAAAUUUCGAAUGGAAACGGGUAAUUCCUAGUGGCGGACGGGUGAGUAACGCGUGGGGAACCUGCCCAUUCCGGGGGAUACCAGUUGGAAACGACUGUUAAUACCGCAUAAGCGCACAGUACUGCAUGGUACGGUGUGAAAAAACCACGGUGGAAUGGGAUGGCCCCGCGUCUGAUUAGCCAGUUGGCAGGGUAACGGCCUACCAAAGCGACGAUCAGUAGCCGGCCUGAGAGGGCGACCGGCCACAUUGGGACUGAGACACGGCCCAAACUCCUACGGGAGGCAGCAGUGGGGAAUAUUGCACAAUGGGGGGAACCCUGAUGCAAGCGACGCCGCGUGAGUGAAGAAGUAUUUCGGUAUGUAAAGCUCUAUCAGCAGGGAAGAAGAUGACGGUACCUGCACAAGAAGCCCCGGCUAACUACGUGCCAGCCGCCGC